CACGUAGUUAGCCGUGACUUUCUGGUUAGGUACCGUCAAAGUCAAGACAGUUACUCCUUGACUUGUUCUUCUCUAAUAACAGAACUUUACGAUCCGAAGACCCUCUUCAUUCACGCGGCAUUGCUCCAUCAGGCUUUCGCCCAUUGUGGAAGAUUCCCUACUGCUGCCUCCCGUAGGAGUCUGGGCCGUGUCUCAGUCCCAGUGUGGCCGAUCACCCUCUCAGGUCGGCUACGUAUCAUUGUCUUGGUAGGCCUUUACCCCACCAACUAACUAAUACGCCGCGGGAUCAUCUAUAAGCGACAGCAAAGCCGUCUUUCUUUCAAGGACCAGGCGGUCCAAGAAUAUAUGCGGUAUUAGCAUCCGUUUCCGAAUGUUAUCCCCCACUUAUAGGCAGAUUUCCCACGUGUUACUCACCCGUUCGCCACUCAUCCGCACUCUGCAAGCAGAGUGCUUCAGCGUUCGACUUGCAUGUAUUAGGCAUGCCGCAGCGUGU
rnacentral:rRNA from 1 species